UUCAAAAGGAAAUCUUUUCUUCUCUCAUCACCUGMGCACUUUGCAUAGGUCUGAAGUUUUAGUUUUCAGUGAAAGGAAGCUACUAGCUUUACUAGCUUUCUUCUCUGGUUUGAGAAUCGCUUCAGAUUAUUGAGAGGCUUUUCUUGACUUUCAGACCUAUGUCAAUUUUUAUACACACACUUGGAAUGUUUUAUGAUAAUGAAAAAAUAAAAAAAUAACAACUUUCAACAACGGAUCUCUUGGCUCUCGCAUCGAUGAAGAACGCAGCGAAAUGCGAUAAGUAGUGUGAAUUGCAGAAUUCAGUGAAUCAUCGAAUCUUUGAACGCACCUUGCGCUUCUCGGUACCCAUUCCAAGAAGCAUGUCUGUUUGAGUGUCAUAAAAUUCUCAAAUUUUACAAUGAACUUGUUUUCUAUGUUAGAUUUGGAUUGUGGAAGUUGCUGGCUGAAAUCUUGGUCUGCUCUUCUCAAAUAUAUCAGCAAAAGUCAGAAUUGGUUCUCUCUUGGUAUGAUAGUUAUCUAUGCCACAGAGAGAGAUGCCAGAGAAAGUUUGUCUGCAAGGCAACGUUGACUUGAGCCAAUCUCAUUUUAUUUCAAUGAAAAAUGUGACCUCAAAUCAGAUAGGACUACCCGCUGAACUUAAGCAUAUCAAUAAGCGGAGGAAAAGAAACUAACAAGGAUUCCCUUAGUAACUGCGAGUGAAGCGGGAAAAGCUCAAA
rnacentral:rRNA from 1 species